AUUGAACGCUGGCGGCACGCUUAACACAUGCAAGUCGAGCGGUAGCAUGUUUAGUAGCAAUACUAGAUGAUGACGAGCGGCGGACGGGUGAGUAACACGUAGGAACUUGCCCAAUAGAGGGGGACAACCAAGGGAAACUUUGGCUAAUACCGCAUAUACUCGGAAGAGGAAAGCUGCCUGCAAGGGUGGAGCUAUUGGAGAGGCCUGCGGCUGAUUAGCUAGUUGGUGAGGUAAUGGCUCACCAAGGCUGGGAUCAGUAACUGGUCUGAGAGGACGACCAGUCACACUGGGACUGAGACACGGCCCAGACUCCUACGGGAGGCAGCAGUGGGGAAUCUUGGACAAUGGGGGCAACCCUGAUCCAGCGAUGCCGCGUGAGUGAAGAAGGCCUUCGGGUCGUAAAGCUCUUUAGGUUGGGAGGAAGGUUGGUAGUUUAAGAGAUAACUAACUUGACUGUACUAACGGAAUAAGCACCGGCAAACUCUGUGCCAGCAGCCGCGGUAA
rnacentral:rRNA from 1 species